GGGGGGGGAAUGCCCUUACUAGGAUAAUGGGAUCACUCUGUGUUUAAAAAGAUCCAUAACUAUUCCAAAAUCCAUAACUACUACGGACAAGCUGCUUAUAUCAUAACGGCAACCACUGCUUUGUAGAUUGCGUCUAUACCCUAGAACAGGGGUGUCUUACUACUUUCAAGGGCUAUCUCAUUCUAUAGGCCAAGAAUUUAUAAGUUAACCUCCUCUUUCAUUCUGAGCAAUGGGUUCUUUAUGAAAUUACAACAUGAUGCCAAAGUGCAUUUUUCUUGCAGUUUAUUCUUUGCCAAUGCAGUCCAUGUCACAUGGCGACUUACCUUGAGUAGAAGGUGAACUGCACCACAUGGUUGGACAGGAUACAGCUUCAGCGCAUUAUCUUUCUCUGUGCAUUUUUCUGGCAGAAAUUCUUCACAACAGAAACAAAACUUACUUUCACCCACAUCAGCCUUCAAUAUUCCCUGUUAACUAAAUUGACUUCUUACUUCUGAGAAAACAAACUUAGGACUGCAGCCUUAGUUAGUAUUGGAGGGAGGUAUAGUUUGCUUUA